UUAAGGAUAUUUUUAAUAAGAAAAUUGGUCUAUUUUGCAAGGAUCUCGUUAUUUUGACACCAUAAAAUUGACACUCAUUUGACAUUGCCACGUGUCAACAUGGUAUUGGCCAAUACAUUUUUUUUUUUAAAUUUGGUCUGAAAAAUGCAGAGUUUUUGAGAGAUAAUGUUUUCCUUUUUUACCCCUGUGCAUUUUGAGUUUGAAUGUCUCAGAGGUUUCUCUCGUUUCUCUCUCACAUUUUCUCUCGUUUCUCUCUCACAUUUAUCGUCGUCUCCCUUGCUAACGGACUACUCUUCUCCACAGUCUCGUCGUCUCCCUUGCUCUCCACUACUCUGAAAUGGCAAGUUCCGGAAUCGAGCAUCGGUGGACGAAGGUAAGUUCGUUUAUUGUGGGUUUGGGUAUUUGGAUUUGUGUUUGGGUAUUCGGUUUUAGGUUUGGGUUUAGGGUUUUUUUUUGUGUUUUCUUGUGGGUUGUGUAUGGUGUUUGUUUGUUAUUUGAUUUGGAUUGUUAUUUUGUUAUGGACAGUUGAGUGUGCGUCAUUCAU
rnacentral:lncRNA from 1 species